UACGUAGGGGGCAAGCGUUGUUCGGAAUUACUGGGCGUAAAGGGUGCGUAGGCGGCGCGGUAAGUCGGGUGUGAAAUUUCGAGGCUUAACUUCGAAACUGCAUUCGAUACUGCCGUGCUUGAGGACUGGAGAGGAGACUGGAAUUUACGGUGUAGCGGUGAAAUGCGUAGAUAUCGUAAGGAAGACCAGUGGCGAAGGCGGGUCUCUGGACAGUUCCUGACGCUGAGGCACGAAGGCCAGGGGAGCAAACGGG
rnacentral:rRNA from 1 species